rnacentral:rRNA from 1 species
AUGAGCGCUGGCGGCGCGCCUAACACAUGCAAGUCGAACGAUUAAAGCACCUUCGGGUGUGUAUAAAGUGGCGAACGGCUGAGUAACACGUGGGCAACCUGCCCCUUUCAUUGGGAUAGCCACGGGAAACCGUGGAUAAUACCGAAUACUUCGAGACUUCCGCAUGGAAGACUCGAGAAAGCUCCGGCGGAGAGGGAUGGACCCGCGGCCUGUUAGCUUGUUGGUGGGGUAACGGCCUACCAAGGCAAUGAUGGGUAGCUGGGUUGAGAGACCGACCAGCCAGAUUGGGACUGAGACACGGCCCAGACUCCUACGGGAGGCAGCAGUGGGGAAUCUUGCACAAUGGGCGAAAGCCUGAUGCAGCGACGCCGCGUGCGGGAUGAAGGCCUUCGGGUUGUAAACCGCUUUCAGCAGGGACGAGGCGAAAGUGACGGUACCUGCAGAAGAAGCCCCGGCUAACUACGUG